UCAAAUUACCCCCGUAACUUCGGGAGAAGGGGGGCCACAGACUGUCAAACUCCAUGCGGGUGGCAGCGGUAGGUGGCCGCAGAGACCAGGGGGAAGCGACUGUUUACUAAAAACACAGGUCCGUGCGAAGUCGUAAGACUAUGUAUACGGACUGACGCCUGCCCGGUGCUGGAACGUUAAGGGGACCGGUUAGUCCGCAAGGGCGAGGCUGAGAACUUAAGCGCCAGUAAACGGCGGUGGUAACUAUAACCAUCCUAAGGUAGCGAAAUUCCUUGUCGGGUAAGUUCCGACCUGCACGAAUGGCGUAACGACUUCCCUACUGUCUCAACCAUAGGCCCGGCGAAAUUGCACUACGAGUAAAGAUGCUCGUUACGCGCGGAAGGACGGAAAGACCCCGGGACCUUCACUAUAGCUUGACAUUGGUACUCGAAUUGAAUUGUGUAGGAUAGGUGGGAGACUAUGAAGCUCGGACGCCAGUUCGGGUGGAGUCAAACUUGAAAUACCACUCUGUUGAAUUUGGGUAUCUAACUUCGGACCGUGAUCCGGUUCAGGGACAGUGUCUGGUGGGUAGUUUAACUGGGGCGGUUGCCUCCUAAAAUGUAACGGAGGCGCCCAAAGGUUCCCUCAGCCUGGUUGGCAAUCAGGUGUUGAGUGCAAGUGCACAAGGGAGCUUGACUGUGAGACUGACAGGUCGAGCAGGGACGAAAGUCGGGACUAGUGAUCCGGCACCUGCGAGUGGAAGCGGUGUCGCUCAACGGAUAAAAGGUACCCCGGGGAUAACAGGCUGAUCUUCCCCAAGAGUCCAUAUCGACGGGAUGGUUUGGCACCUCGAUGUCGGCUCGUCGCAUCCUGGGGCUGGAGUAGGUCCCAAGGGUUGGGCUGUUCGCCCAUUAAAGCGGCACGCGAGCUGGGUUUAGAACGUCGUGAGACAGCUCGGUCCCUAUCCUCCGCGCGCGCAGGAGACUUGAGAAGGGCUGUCCCUAGUACGAGAGGACCGGGACGGACGAACCUCUGGUGUGCCAGUUGUCAUGCCAAUGGCACGGCUGGUUAGCUACGUUCGGAAGGGAUAACCGCUGAAAGCAUCUAAGCGGGAAGCCUGCUUCAAGAUGAGGUCUCCCACCCCUUGAGGGUUAAGGCCCCCAGCUAGACCACUGGGUUGAUAGGCCAGAAGUGUAAGCCUGGUAACAGGUUCAGCCGACUGGUACUAAUAGGCCGAGGACUUAACC
rnacentral:rRNA from 1 species